rnacentral:rRNA from 1 species
AAUGAACGCUGGCGGCAUGCCUAACACAUGCAAGUCGAACGACAGGACCGGAACUUGUUGCUCUUGCGGUUGGCGCGGGCCGGAAGGUUACACUAUGGUUAACAUACCUCUACGACUGGGGUACUUACGGCAAACCGGGUCUAAUACCGAAAAAUAUUUCGAACGGGUUGGUGCAUGAGUUAAAGCGGCUUUUCGGUACAGUAAUAGCCGAUCCCGGCCUCCAUUAGUUAGUGGGUAAGGUACCGGCUUACCAAGGCGACGAUGCGUAGCGGACCUGAGAGGGUGGACGGCCACCCUGGAACUGAGACACGGUCCAGACUCCUACGGGAGGAAGCAGUAGGGAAUCUUACGCAAUGGGCGAAAGCCUGACGGAGCAACGCCGCGUGAGUGAUGAAGGUCUUCGGAUCGUAAAACUCUGUUAUUAGGGAAGAACAAAAGUGUAAGUAACUGUGCACGUCUUGACGGUACCUAAAGAAAAAGCCCCGGCUAACUACGUG